AUGGAUCUGACGUUCAGCGGAAACAACACAAUGUCUCCCUCCAAUUUCAGUGGCGGCGCUCAACCUUCGCCUCCUUCGAAAAAAACUCCUUCUCUGGCCUCAUCUCUUUGUUGUCACCUUCGUCUCCUUCACGAAUAUGCUUCGUGCUCCGCCCAUCAUGUCUUCAAGCUCUAUUCACAACAAAAAUGGAAGACGCAAAGGAAAGUGUGA